rnacentral:rRNA from 1 species
CCUACGGGAGGCAGCAGUGGGGAAUAUUGCACAAUGGGGGAAACCCUGAUGCAGCGACGCCGCGUGAGCGAUGACGUAUUUCUGUAUGUAAAGCUCUAUCAGCAGGGAAGAAAAUGACGGUACCUGACUAAGAAGCCCCGGCUAACUACGUGCCAGCAGCCGCGGUUAUACGUAGGGGGCAAGCGUUAUCCGGAUUUACUGGGUGUAAAGGGAGCGUAGACGGGGGUGCAAGCCAGGUGUGAAAGCCCGGGGCUCAACCCCGGGACUGCAGUUGGAACUGUCCUGCUAGAGUGUCCGAGAGGCAGGCGGAAUGCGUAGUGUAGCGGUGAAAUGCGUAGAUAUUAGGAGGAACACCAGUGGCGAAGGCGGCAUGCUGGA